UCCGAAUUAGUACAGUGGUUUAGUAUACCGCACUCUCACUGCGGCGACCCGGGUUCGAACCCCGGAUUCGGAG